CCGAAAAUAAGUCAUUUGAAUGCUUUGGAUUUCACUGACGCCCCCAUAGAAGUGGACAGAAUCAGUCCUCACCUGAGCACUACAGAUGUGGAGACCACAUCUCCAUCUGGCCACUCUGAGCCUUCUCCGCACCAUCUACCUCAGGCUUUGGAACUCACCAGUGACCACAAUGAAGAGAACAGAAACUGUCGUCUCCUGAGCGCUGCGGGUGUUGAGGUUGG